UACGUAGGGUGCGAGCGUUAAUCGGAAUUACUGGGCGUAAAGCGUGCGCAGGCGGUUUUGUAAGCCAGAUGUGAAAUCCCCGGGCUCAACCUGGGAAUGGCAUUUGGGACUGCAAGGCUUGAGUGCGGCAGAGGAGACUGGAAUUCCUGGUGUAGCAGUGAAAUGCGUAGAUAUCAGGAGGAACACCGGUGGCGAAGGCGGAUCUCUGGGCCAUUACUGACGCUGAGGAGCGAAAGCGUGGGGAGCGAACAGG
rnacentral:rRNA from 1 species